rnacentral:rRNA from 1 species
UAUUGCACAAUGGGGGAAACCCUGAUCCAGCGACGCCGCGUGAGUGAAGAAGUAUUUCGGUAUGUAAAGCUCUGUCAGCAGGGAAGAAAGAAAUGACGGUACCUGACUAAGAAGCCCCGGCUAACUACGUGCCAGCAGCCGCGGUAAUACGUAGGGGGCGAGCGUUAUCCGGAUUCACGGGGUGUAAAGGGAGCGUAGACGGCCGUGCAAGCCAGGAGUGAAAGCCCGGGGCCCAACCCCGGGACUGCUCUUGGAACUGUGCGGCUAGAGUGCGGGAGGGGCAGGCGGAAUUCCUGGUGUAGCGGUGAAAUGCGUAGAUAUCAGGAGGAACACCGGCGGCGAAGGCGGCCUGCUGGACCGCGACUGACGUUGAGGCUCGAAAGCGUGGGGAGCGAACAG